CCCGGGCCUUGUACACACCGCCCGUCACACCAUGGGAGUUGGUUUUACCUUAAGACGGUGCGCCAACCGCAAGGAGGCAGCCGGCCACGGUAAGGUCAGCGACUGGGGUG
rnacentral:rRNA from 1 species